AUACUGCUCACCGAAGCCCCUCUUAACCCAAAGGCAAACAGAGAAAAAAUGGCCCAGAUUAUGUUCGAGAGAUUUAAUGUACCGGCUAUGUAUGUUGCUGUUCAGGCCGUCCUUGCACUCUAUGCCAGUAACCGGACAACCGGUAUCGUGAUUGAUUCUGGUGAUGGCGUGAGCCAUACCGUUCCUAUUUAUGAAGGAUGUGCUUUACCUCAUGCCAUUCUUCGGUUGGAUCUCGCUGGUCGUGGCGUUACCGAUUGGCUGAUGAAGAUCCUUACGGAGAGAGGUUAUUCGUUCACUACGACUGCAGAAUGGGAAAUUGCGAGGGACAUCAAGGAGAAGCUUGCCUAUGUCGCUCUUGAUUACGAACAGAAGCUGAAGACCGCCAAGACUAGCUCGGCCGCAGAGAAAAGCUAUGAGCUUCCUGACGGGCAGGUUCUCACGAUCGGGGCUGAGAGAUUCAGGUGCCCGGAGGUUCUCUUCCGGCCAUCCUUGAUUGGCAUGGAAGCCGCCGGAAUCCACGAGACAACAUACGACUCCAUUAUGAAGUGUGAUGUCGAUAUUAGGAAAGAUUUUUACGGCAACAUUGUGCUCAGUGGCGGAUCAACAAUGUUCCCCGGCAUUGCUGUUCGCUCGCAUGAGAAAGGAGAUCGAGGCACUUACACCGAGCAACAUGAAGAUAAAGGUGGUCGCCCCACCUGAACGAAAAUACAGCGUCUGGAUGGGAGGCUCCAUCCUUGCUUCCCUCUGUACAUAUAUAUAUAUAUAUAUAUAUAUAUAUAUAUAA